AGAUGCAACCCCCUCAGACCCUCCUUCAACACCACUCUCUGAAGAUAAGAUGGAAACAUUAAGGGUCCAAUUAAACGCACCCGCAGGAAUGAAUCUUGAAGACCCCAAAGUGAGCGAAGCCCUUUUAGAGCAGAUUCGGGAGCACUUCUCCAAGAACGUUCCAAUGGACGGUGUUAAGCUGCGCUGGAGAAAACAAGAUGGACAGAUUUUCCACAAGGAGGAGGAAGAGGAGAAGAAGGAGGAGAAGUGCUCCGAGCCGUGAGGCACCAACAUUGAUCUCUUAUUAACAACUCAAACUUCUUCAAAAACACAUUUAAAAGCUGGUAUACGGGAGCAUUAGUUUGAGAUGGUACGACAGAUUCAGAGUAGGAUUAGGGGUUAAUAAAGGCUUUUGAGUGUGCUUCAUUAUAUUAUGUGCCUCAUGAAUGUUAUUAGUAACUAGAACUAUAAUUUAAAUUAGCUGAAUUGAGGGGUUUAGUUGUAGAUGGAUUUUACAAUACCUACUGGGGCAAUGUAGAUUUAUUUUGAGGUGUUAGUUUUAGUUUUAAAAUAGUUUUACAUUAUUUGUGUAACUCAGAUUUUUAAUUGGGUGAUGGGUAUAUUUUGGGUAUUUUAAUUUGAUUUAUAAUAUAGAGAUAGAGAUUAUCUAUAUACUGUAUCUCAGUUACUGCUACAACACUAACGUAUAACAAGGUGAUGGGUAUGUUUUGGUUUCACAGUAAUUCUAAGUUAUAUUACAAUAGUUACUAGGGAUUAUAUGAAGGCUUUUGGGUUUGUUUUAUUUAUGAUGUAAAAAAAGCAAAACAAUACAAUAUAUACAGAGUGAUUACAAAGGAAGUGGGCCAUUUUACAAAGGCAUGACGGAAUACAUGUACACCUUGCAAGUUCCUGUACAAACCCAUAGGGGGCGCCACAAAACAUUACAGGGGUGGGUGGGAUAAAAAAACAAUAAUGCCAUUAUUUGUAGUCUUGAUGCUUCAGAAUCAGGGUUAAUUGCUUAUCAGACAGACAAUGAAAAUGAUCUUGAUCAUGCAAAAUUAAAAUGAGAAUAAUACAAAGACUUUAAAAACGUGUACAGUUCACAACCACACAGUCAGGUCCACCCGAUUCACUGCAGUCUGCUGGAUACAUGGGUUCAGGGCUUCUCUGCUGUGUAUCAAUAUUAAUACUGAACUAACUGUAUGAGGA